rfam:Ailuropoda melanoleuca scaffold184_6, whole genome shotgun sequence.
AGAAUGGCUUCUUUAGAAGCCAUUAGACCUCAAAUAUAGUAAAUAU